rnacentral:rRNA from 1 species
UACGUAGGUGGCAAGCGUUGUCCGGAUUUACUGGGCGUAAAGGAUGCGUAGGCGGAUAUUUAAGUCAGAUGUGAAAUUCCCGAGCUUAACUUGGGAGCUGCAUUUGAAACUGGGUAUCUAGAGUGUGGGAGAGGAAAGUGGAAUUCCUAGUGUAGCGGUGAAAUGCGUAGAGAUUAGGAAGAACCCCAGUGGCGAAGGCGACUUUCUGGACCAUAACUGACGCUGAGGCAUGAAAGCGUGGGGAGCAACAG